rnacentral:rRNA from 1 species
UACAGAGGGGGCAAGCGUUAUUCGGAAUUAUUGGGCGUAAAGGGCGCGUAGGCGGCCAUCUAAGUCAGACGUGAAAUCCCCCGGCUUAACCUGGGAACUGCGUCUGAUACUGAAAGGCUCGAGUUUGGGAGAGGGAUGUGGAAUUCCAGGUGUAGCGGUGAAAUGCGUAGAUAUCUGGAGGAACACCGGUGGCGAAGGCGGCAUCCUGGACCAACACUGACGCUGAGGCGCGAAAGCUAGGGGAGCAAACGGG